UACGUAGGAUGCGAGCGUUAUCCGGAUUUAUUGGGUUUAAAGGGUGCGUAGGCGGAUCGUUAAGUCAGUGGUCAAAUUGAGGGGCUCAACCCCUUCCCGCCAUUGAAACUGGCGAUCUUGAGUGGAAGAGAAGUAUGCGGAAUGCGUGGUGUAGCGGUGAAAUGCAUAGAUAUCACGCAGAACCCCGAUUGCGAAGGCAGCAUGCCGGCUUCCUACUGACGCUGAGGCACGAAAGCGUGGGGAUCGAACAGG
rnacentral:rRNA from 1 species